UAGAAAGUAGUGUAGUGGGAGCACUGAGAUUUUUGAUUUCUCCAGGUAGGGUUCAAACCCCUUCUUUCUAA
rnacentral:tRNA from 1 species